rnacentral:lncRNA from 1 species
GAAGACAUCCUCAGGAGGCCCAGACAUGGACCUGUGAGGGGUGUCACCCUGCCUCACCUGCCUCCUCACUUUGGCACAUCACCUAGCAAGCCUGAGGCAAUUUGGGUGCCAGCAUCCUGCAAUAUCCACUGCUGGAAAUCUCUUCAUUGUGGCCUUAUCAGAAGAAGUUUGAAUUUCAGAUCUUGGUUUUUGUUUUGUUUUUUUUUAAUAGAGUACCCAAACCUUCCUUUCUGCUUGCCUCAAACCUGCCAAAUAUACCCACACUUUGUUUGUAUAUUAUUCCCUUGCUUGCAUCUUGUUUCCUAAACCGGCACAGCCAAGGAAGCUGUCAUAGCCUCAUCUGCCCAUCAUUCUUGUAACUCUAGAGUGAAAAGAUUUCUCCUCUUCUUAAGUAUAAGAAUGACUCCUUCUGUCCUCUUAAGGGCAGAAACAGCUGGGAGUCUUCCUGAUCAUAUGCCCUCAGCUCAUGAUCUCUUUAGGGGAGAGGCUGAGUAGGGGGGGUGUCUAGGUUCUCUGGUGGAUGAUCUUCAUGGUAGCCUGAAUCCAUUUUUUCCUAAAUAAUCAGCUCAGGAUGAGGGUAAUGGAUAGUCCUAGGCCAAGGUGAGUAAGGCCUGCAUAAGAAGAGGCUUGAGAAGCACAAAGAGAGGCAGUAAGGAAGGGUUUUGUUUUGUUUUGUUUUAUAACCAGGUACCUCAUUUUCUUUAGUAAUAAAUAUUCUCACAGAAGCCAAAGGAAAAAAGUUUAUCAAGUAAAUACCCAGAGCCCUCGUGGAUCUAGUCUCUGCCCUCCCUCCUUUUUUUCUUUUUUUCUUUAUACACACACACACACACACACACACACAUCCCACCAUCUCUUUAUGACACUAAAGACAACCAGGUAAGCCCCAAACCCCUAUGUCUAGCCUUAUCCUCGAUUGGCUUUUAUCGACAUAGCAAACUCUUGCCACUGAGGACAGUUUCAUCCUUGGGCACCCUAUCCUUGGGACCAUAUUCCAGGACAGGUAAAAGAACAUAGGAGGCCAAGGUGUUAAUGUGGCAUCCCGGGGAUUACAUCCCACAAUGGCAUGGACGUGAGGUGGCCAUAAUGUGUGCUUCUGACUUAUCUGCUCAGCCACAAAAUCCAGUAACUCCUAGGCUAGCCAGAAAGGGAAUCAGAACCCCCACAAUAGAACCAGACUGGUCUUCAAGGAGGGAAGACUAGGGGAGUCUAAAAAAAGAUGUGCACCAAACUGGAAUACUUCUCAUUUCUUUUAUGCAAUAAAAAGCUAAAAGGACUUUUGGCAACACAUCCUUUGACCAGUUAAUAGAGUGGAUGAACUCUGCCCAGAUCCUACUUUUACACAACUAUAAUCAAUGAACUUGAAUGGUAAAACCAGAGCAAAACUUUCAAUUAUCUUUUUCUUUCUACAACUUUCCUUCUGGCAAUUCUCCCUCCCUUACAAUCAGGCCUGCACAACCAUCCCAAGCCCCAGUUGCCCAUGAUUUGUACCUGUGCCCUUUCUGCAGUGGUCAUAUGGUGAACAGAUAGUAUUAGAAUGGAGUGGUUUGUGUGCUACUAAGUUGUUUGCUCAUUUUAUUAGCCACAAUAGUCUAAUGAGAGUCUGUGAUAAGUGGAGCUAGGCCGUUGAUAGCAUCUGUGGUGGCAGGGAGUCCCUUUGACUCAAUAUAUCUAGCUUUUAUUGGGCAGAGCCACAGUCUCCCUCCUGUUGUGGGAGUCAGGCUUUCAGAACCUGAAGCCAUACUAGAAGUCCCCCAUGGAUGCACAUAGACUCCAGUCUUCUGCAGCCUCAGCAUCAGCAACUGGGCAUCUCUGCUCCCCACUGAAUAACUGCCUCUUGUAACAGGGGCCACCGUUGGUCCUCCAGCUGUUCUGUAAGGACUGCAAAAAAGUACACCCCUUUGACUUCUUUAUUGUGGCCUAGAUGCCCUCAGAGUAACCUCAAACUCCACUCAUUUAGUUUAUAGCACUUUAAGGAUCUCCUUUUUACUUCCCAUUACUGGGCUGAUUUCCACUGGAAGGGGUCACCUUUUGAUCCCCUGGCAACAUAGAUACUCCAGAUAUUUUAAAUACAGAUUUAUUGAGAUUUAAUCUACAUAUCAUAUAAUUUGCCCAUUUAAAAUAUACAAUUCUGUGGCUUUUUGCAUAUUCAUAGAAUUGCAUGUAUUUUUUUUUUCCUGCAGUGCUGGGAUGGAACCCAGGGCCUCUCACAUGUGGGGCAAGUGAGUUACACCCCAGCCCUGUACAUUCAUUUCAGAACAGACACAUAGUAGAUCUGUUAUGGGGGGAAAGACUUUAGUCCUUGACCCAGAGUGGUUUUCACAAGCUAUUGGGGGAGAGUGUGUGGCUCAGGAGAUAAAAUAUUUAGAUCCUGUUUGGUCACCUAGAGUCCUGGCACCCAUAACUAACUUUCAUCCUGUAGCUAUCACCUGUAUUUAUUUAGCUGGGAAUACCAAUGAAGAUUGUGGUGUAUCCAAGGACCAGGGGAUUUCUUAUGCCAACAGAAGAAAAAAAAUUUUUUAGUCUGACUCUACAUUAAAGAUAAGACUGACUAUAUUUAUACAGCAGAGACUUUGUAACAGAUUUUUCAGAUUUGUGAAAUCAAAUUUUUGUCUCAUCAGGAAUGGUUGGAUUUCCUUUUUAUUCUGUAUUCUAAGCAUUUAUAGUUUGUUAGGGGAUGGGUAAUGCAUGUUACAUUUUUUUGUGUGUGAAAUAAAAACAUGCCUUUUGAGUUGUUUUUCUAGAACAUAGAUGGGGUGGUUGGAUGGUUGAAGGGGAAGUGGUAAGUGUCCUUGAAGCCUAAACAGAAGAGGAGAAGGAGACAGAAAUGAGCACAGACUUCAGAGCACCACAGACCCAAUUCAGAAGCCUCUU